rnacentral:lncRNA from 1 species
GAAACCUCGAAAGCAGCCAAGCCGCGAUUGUACGGAUAUGGCUAACCUGCAGACUGGAAUUCAAUGUGCCUCAGCCUUGAGCCUUUGAUGGCAAGGUGCUGUGGAUUGAUUGCUACAUUCAACGUUCCACUGACCGAAUCCCUUGAAGGGACAAGCCACCACCAAGCUGCUGUCUCUCUGCGCACUGUUCUUUGUAGUUUACAACCUGGCAUCUGAGUAGCAUCUGGCAGAGAAAUGAAUUCGUAGCUAUUUACAUAAGAAUUAAUCUACAGAACCAGAGACGCCCUUCCUUUCCAGCAUGAAUUAUACCCAAC